rnacentral:lncRNA from 1 species
UUUCGCAUACGAGCUCCAUUUUCGACGUUAUUUAUAUGCACACGUAGGUAAAAAUAUGAUCUACAAUUUCAUUUUGACUCUGUCAGCUAAUUCUCGACUGAUUUUAUUACAUUUAACAGUAGGAGGAGAUUACACUGUUAAAUGUCUACAUAAAAUUCAUAACAUCUACAUAUAGAAUCCGUUUCCGUCUGUCUUUUUGUCGUUGAGUUCCUAUUAAUAAGAUCUUCAAUUCUCAUUUAGGUCGCGUUGGCCAAAAACCGCUCGAUCUAAAAUUCGAGUUUCAGGUCGUGCACUGCUAAGCCAAAUCUUAGAAAAAUCAUAACUUCCUCAUACGAAGUCAGAUUUGGGCCUUCUUUUUAUGCACGCUCUCGGUUUAACGUAUAAUAAAACUUUUUUUUUUAGAUUGCUAAGGCUAAAAAGUCCUCUAUCAUAAAUUCACUAUUUACGUCACACAGUGUCGUGUCGGUUUUGUUGCGAAACUUCGACAGACCAUAACUUCUUCGUUAUAACUCGGAUUUCAACAUUCUAUAUAUGUACAGAACCCUUGUAACACAUACUAUAACUUGGUUAAUGUUACUCUUUCUAAAUAAUCUUCCAUCAAAAGCUCUUUUUUUAUGCUUAUUGUCUCGAAAUUGACUAGCCCGAAUCUGCAGGCGUUACAAUAGGCCAUGAAGGACUUACAUGAACAUCCUUUCUUCUCUUCACUUUUAGAUUCACUAACUUCAUUUUUUAUGAAGUUUGGGUACAAGCAUUGCUACCAGUGGAUCAACUUCUUAAUGGAUUACUGAUUGGUGGUUGAGUACUUUCCUCCAGACGAUCAUCAAGAAUUUACUUCACAUCCAUCCUUAUCGUUUCUCUCAUCUCCUUAAAGACUCAUUGCAUCUCUACAAUUGUUGUUAGCGGUUGACUAGGAUCAUUUUUGAUAUUAGCCUCAUUAUUGAUACCAGGUAUCUCAUUUUCUUGUACCGGUGGAUAGCUAGAAGCUUGCCCUUCCAUUAUCUAUAACAAAUAAUUAAUAUAUUAUCAUUAUAGUGACGUCAGUAUUUGUGGCAUAUAUUGUGGACACCGUCACCUAUUGCAUAUUACUUAAUAAUUUUCCAAAAAAAAUCACUAUUCACAUUCUACUAUUCAUAUAUAUAAUAUUAUUCAUGGAUAUGGUACUAUUCAUGCAUAAGGUACUAUUCAUGUAUACAAUACUAUUCAUGUAUAUACUGUACUAUUUAUAUAUAUAGUAUUAUUCAUGUAUUUCACUAUUCUUGUAUUUUACUAUUGAUGUAUUCAACUAUUUGUAUUUUACUAUUCAUACUUCAUUAUUCAUAUAUGUAUAAAUAUAAAUAUUUAUUUACUUAUUUAACUGUUUAAGCCAAAGUUUGGAAAAAUCCCCAACCUAAUUCGUUUAAACUAUAGCUCUCAUACCAAAUUGUAACACCCUAACUUUAUAAAACUUUUACAAAUUUAUCUUUAUUACAAAAACACAAUGAGUAGUCUUGUAUAAAAGUUAUAAUUGGUUUACCAUAUCUCAUUUAUAUAACAAUUAUAAUAAAAAUAAAUCUAUCAAAUCAUGUAUUAUAUACUAAAUACUCAAACAACCUUGAAAAUUUAUUUUUAUUUAAAUACAGUUGUCAUAUAUCCCAAACGGGAAAAAAAUCGUCAAGUACUCACCUUGGUAGUUAGGUUUCCUAACUAUAAUUUCCCCGGCUAGUUUUUUGCUCUUUAGCUAUUUUCCUAGCAAUUAUCAGUAAAAUAACCGGAUUAAAUUUCAUAUGUAGGUUAAACCCUAUCUCUUUUAUUUAUCCUAAUGAUACCUUGUAUAACCUUUUAGCGUCAUUUAUACUCUGGCAAAAUUUUCAGAAUAUAUUUUGUCACUAAUGGUGUUGAAUUCGUUGCUUUCGCCAAAUCAUGUGAUAACAAUAUAGAAACUUAUAUUUUUAAUACCAUAUCAUUUCAGUAUACAAUUCACCAUUAUCUUGAAUUCUACAUGAUAAUAUAAAUAAUACCAAUAAGUCACUUUAAAUACAAGAUAAUGAAAUAUUACUUACAAUAUGCACGUUUGUGUUGAAACCCGCUAUUUUCUCCUUGACAUUCGUAUUUACAUGCGUAUACGGGUGUAUUAUAUGAAAGUAUAUAAUGGGCUACGUGAAUAAAU